rnacentral:miRNA from 8 species
ACAGCUGAUGCAACCAAUCAAA